rnacentral:rRNA from 1 species
AGAACGAACGCUGGCGGCAGGCUUAACACAUGCAAGUCGAACGGUUGUAGCAAUACAGCAGUGGCAGACGGGUGAGUAACACGUGGGAACCUUCCUAGGGGUACGGAACAACUCAGGGAAACUUGAGCUAAAUACCGUAUACGUCCGUGAGGAGAAAGUUUUAACGCCCCUAGACGGGCCCGCGUAGGAUUAGGUAGUUGGUGAGGUAACGGCUCACCAAGCCUACGAUCCUUAGCUGAUCUGAGAGGAUGAUCAGCCACACUGGGACUGAGACACGGCCCAGACUCCUACGGGAGGCAGCAGUGGGGAAUCUUGGACAAUGGGCGCAAGCCUGAUCCAGCCAUGCCGCGUGAGUGAAGAAGGCCUUCGGGUUGUAAAGCUCUUUUACCAGGGACGAUAAUGACGGUACCUGGAGAAUAGCCCCGGCAAACUUCGUGCCAGCAGCCGC